UACGGGGGGGGCAAGCGUUGUUCGGAAUUACUGGGCGUAUAGGGCUCGUAGGCGGCCAACUAAGUCAGACGUGAAAUCCCCAGGCUCAACCUGGGAACUGCGUCUGAUACUGGAUGGCUUGAAUCCGGGAGAGGGAUGCAGAAUUCCAGGUGUAGCGGUGAAAUGCGUAGAUAUCUGGAGGAAUACCGGUGGCGAAGGCGGCAUCCUGGACCGGCAUUGACGCUGAGGAGCGAAAGCUAGGGGAGCAAACGGG
rnacentral:rRNA from 1 species